GCCAGCCCGCUCAGAAACUUAAAUGAAUUGACGGGGGCUCGCACAAGCGGUGGAGCAUGUGGUUUAAUUCGAUGAUACGCGAGGAACCUUACCUGGGCUCAAAUGUAUGUUGACGUAUUCUGAAAGGGAUACUUCUUCGGACAAUAUACGAGGUGCUGCAUGGUUGUCGUCAGCUCGUGCCGUGAGGUGUCGGGUUAAGUCCCAUAACGAGCGCAACCCCUACCUUUAGUUGCCAUCAGGUAAUGCUGGGGACUCUAAAGGAACUGCCUACGCAAGUAGUGAGGAAGGCGGGGAUGACGUCAAAUCAGCACGGCCCUUACGUCCAGGGCUACACACGUGCUACAAUGGCCGAUACAGAGGGCAGCUACCUGGUGACAGGAUGCAAAUCUCCAAAGUCGGUCUCAGUUCGGAUCGGAGUCUGCAACCCGACUCCGUGAAGUUGGAUUCGCUAGUAAUCGCGCAUCAGCCAUGGCGCGGUGAAUACGUUCCCGGGCCUU
rnacentral:rRNA from 1 species